UUGUGAGAGCAAGAGCCCGGAGAUGGAUUCUGAGACACGAAUUCAGGCCCUACGGGGCGCAGCAGGCGCGAAAACUUUACAAUGCGGGAAACCGUGAUAAGGGGACACCGAGUGUCAGCAUCAUAUGCUGGCUGUCCAGGUGUGUAAAAUACACCUGUUAGCAAGGGCCGGGCAAGACCGGUGCCAGCCGCCGCGGUAACACCGGCGGCCCGAGUGGUGAUCGUGAUUAUUGGGUCUAAAGGGUCCGUAGCCGGUUUGGUCAGUCCUCCGGGAAAUCUGAUAGCUCAACUAUUAGGCUAUCGGGGGAUACUACCAGACUUGGAACCGGGAGAGGUAAGAGGUACUACAGGGGUAGGAGUGAAAUCUUGUAAUCCCUGUGGGACCACCUGUGGCGAAGGCGUCUUACCAGAACGGGUUCGACGGUGAGGGACGAAAGCUGGGGGCACGAACCGGAUUAGAUACCCGGGUAGUCCCAGCCGUAAACGAUGCUCGCUAGGUGUCAGGCAUGGCGCGACCGUGUCUGGUGCCGCAGGGAAGCCGUGAAGCGAGCCACCUGGGAAGUACGGCCGCAAGGCUGAAACUUAAAGGAAUUGGCGGGGG
rnacentral:rRNA from 1 species